rnacentral:lncRNA from 1 species
GUUCUAUCUUACGAAGAAGUGCAGGAGUCAUUUUCCAUGCCUGAGAGCAAAUAAGCAUGAUCCUCCAAGCCCACGCGCUGUCUGGCGUGCUUCAGAUAGGAGGUGUUGGCCGCAGGACCCCAGUUCGUGGAGACAGUGAAGAUGACAGCCCGCAGAGGACACUGUGUCUGGCAGGCUCUGUGCAACAGUGUCCUUGCAGAGACAUUUGGGACCGAAGGGGAAAAGUAUUGUUGUCACUAGAUGGCACCGCACCGCCUUGCAGGAGACUGCGUGAGUGCUGCGAGGGUCAGGCACACCUCUGUCCCUGCAAGCAAGCCUUGCAGCCCAAUUUGCAACGAUACUCUGCUGAUCACUGUUCAGUUUAAUCUCACUACUGCUAACUACAAGCCUUCUGGACCCGUUUAACCGGCGUCUUGGUGAUAACCUUCGUGGCAGCUUCCUCUGGAUCAUCUGAUAGCAUUAGUGUGGCUGGGGAAGAAGCCCAGCUGGCUUAGCUGCCUGGGAACGGGCUUUCCUAAGGGACGUAGGCAGCUUUGCUCUUUGAGCAAUGCUCAGGACUCCCACAGUGUCUCAGAGGUGACUAAACUACAUUUGUGAAGAAGUACAGCAACUGUGCUUUGAUUUCAUGCGUAAUUGCUCAUCUUGGAACUGUUGCAGGCACGUGAGUUUGCUGAUAAGCCAAAUGCCAGACAGCAGAGCUGUCCUGAACACCACCAAGCUGCUGUUCACUAUACCACAAUGGCCUAAACCCCCAAAUUUGCUCUUUGCUUAACCUUAUAAACACUGUGUGGCUUCGAAUCAUUGGACACUCUGCCUUCCUCAUCUCAGGUCAUCAGCCAGGUUCCCAUUCUUCAGUCCCAAGAAAAUGGCUGUGAGGCUGUCCAUGGGUGAUGGUGAGGAAAUUCCUGUUGGCACAUGUGGAACAUUGAUGUUUCCCACUGUGGAAGUGGUCAAGUCCUGGAUGAGUCAUCCCAGGAGAGAUAUGGGAUAGCUGGUUCCCAGAUGUACCUAGGAAGCAUUACAACUAUCUCUGAACCAAAACCCUGUCUCUGAGCAAAUCCAAUGCCUACAUCAGACGUAGCUCUCAUAUUCCCAGCUCCUUUCCUGGCUGCAAGUGCCCCUCCAGAAGGAUCCUACACCAACACUUCCCAAAGAAGCAGUGGCCAAGAGGACAUGAAGUCUUUGCUAUUGUGGGGCUCUGAGUCAGAGGCUGGAGAGUGGUGUCAGUCUCUAAGAUAAACCAUGAAUCAUCGAGCACCAACCAGAACAAGUGAUGUUACUCACUCUGUAAAAGGCACACUGCAGCUAAUUCUGUGAUUGUAUUUAUCAGGAUAGCGUGGUGACUUCACAUGUUUUGAUAUUAAA